GGAGACUACGAGCGUUACUCGGAUUCACUGGGCGUAAAGGGAGCGCAGGCGGAUUGGUGUGUUGGGUGUGAAAUACCGGGGCUUAACUUCGGAAUUGCGCCCAAAACUAUUAAUCUAGAGACUUGGAGAGGUAAGCGGAAUUUCCGGUGUAGCGGUAAAAUGCGCAGAUAUCGGAAGGAACACCGAAGGCGAAGGCAGCUUACUGGACAGGAUCUGACGCUCAUGCUCGAAAGCGUGGGGAGCGAAAGGGAUUAGAUACCCCUGUAGUCCACGCCGUAAACGUUGUACACUAGGUAUUGGAGGAAUCAUCCCCUUCAGUGCCCAAGCUAACGCGAUAAGUGUACCGCCUGAGUACU
rnacentral:rRNA from 1 species